UACGAAGGGGGCUAGCGUUGCUCGGAAUCACUGGGCGUAAAGCGCACGUAGGCGGAUUGUUAAGUCAGGGGUGAAAUCCUGGAGCUCAACUCCAGAACUGCCUUUGAUACUGGCGAUCUUGAGUCCGGGAGAGGUGAGUGGAACUGCGAGUGUAGAGGUGAAAUUCGUAGAUAUUCGCAAGAACACCAGUGGCGAAGGCGGCUCACUGGCCCGGUACUGACGCUGAGGUGCGCAAGCGUGGGGAGCAAACAGG
rnacentral:rRNA from 1 species